rnacentral:snRNA from 1 species
AUCAGGAAGCUGUGGCGAUGUCGUAACCAAUGAGGUUUUUCCGAGGUGCGAUUAUUGCUAGUUGAAAACUUAACCACUGAUCGGCUCAUCCGACCAAAUUUUUAUAUCCCUAGUUAGU